rnacentral:lncRNA from 1 species
AGUAGUAGCAGUAGUAGUAGUAGCAGUAGUAGUAGUAGCAGCAGUACUAGCAGCAGUAGUAGAAGUAGCAGCAGUAGUAGAGGCAGUAGUAGUAGCAGCAGUAGUAGUAGUAGCAGUAGAAGCAGCAGCAGCAGCAGCAGUAGUAGUAGCAGUAGUACUAGCAGUAGUAGUGGUAGCAGCAGUAGUAGUAGUAGCAGCAGCAGUAGUAGUAGUAGUAGCAGCAGCAGCAGCAGCAGCAGUAGUAGUAGUAGUAGCAGUAGCAGUAGCAGUAGUAGUAGCAGCAGUAGUAGUAGUAGUAGCAGUAGCAGUAGUAGUAGCAGCAGUAGUAGUAG